GACGAACGCCGGCGGCGUGCUUUACACAUGCAAGUCGAACGGUGAAGGUGGAGCUUGCUCCGCCGGAUCAGUGGCGAACGGGUGAGUAACACGUGGGCAACCUGCCCCUAACUUUGGGAUAACUACUCGAAAGAGUAGCUAAUACCGGAUAUGAAGUCUGUAGGCAUCUAUGGAUUUGGAAAGUUUUUCGGUUAGGGAUGGGCCCGCGGCCUAUCAGCUUGUUGGUGAGGUAGUGGCUCACCAAGGCGACAACGGGUAGCCGGCCUGAGAGGGCGACCGGCCACACUGGGACUGAGACACGGCCCAGACUCCUACGGGAGGCAGCAGUGGGGAAUAUUGCGCAAUGGGCGAAAGCCUGACGCAGCAACGCCGCGUGCGGGAUGAAGGCCUUCGGGUUGUAAACCGCUUUCAGCAGGGAAGAAGCAAAAGUGACGGUACCUGCAGAAGAAGCACCGGCUAACUACGUGCCAGCCGCCGCGGUAA
rnacentral:rRNA from 1 species